GAAACCAACAGGGAUUGCCCUAGUAACGGCGAGUGAAGCGGCAACAGCUCAAAUUUGAAAUCUGGCCCUCGGGUCCGAAUUGUAAUUUGUAGAGGAUGCUUUUGGUCAGGUGCCUUCCGAGUUCCCUGGAACGGGACGCCUUAGAGGGUGAGAGCCCCGUACGGUUGGACGCCGAGCCUCUGUAAAGCUCCUUCGACGAGUCGAGUAGUUUGGGAAUGCUGCUCUAAAUGGGAGGUAAAUUUCUUCUAAAGCUAAAUAUUGGCCAGAGACCGAUAGCGCACAAGUAGAGUGAUCGAAAGAUGAAAAGUACUUUGAAAAGAGGGUUAAACAGCACGUGAAAUUGUUGAAAGGGAAGCGUUUAUGACCAGACUUUUUCUAGGCGGAUCAUCCGGUGUUCUCACCGGUGCACUUUGUCUAGUUUAGGCCAGCAUCGGUUUUCAUAGGGGGAUAAAAUCGGUGGGAAUGUGGCUCCCUCGGGAGUGUUAUAGCCCGCCGAAUAAUACCCUUACGGGGACCGAGGUUCGCGCUCUGCAAGGAUUUUGGGUGUUAAACCCUCACGCGUAAUGAAAGUGAACGGAGGUGAGAGCUCCUAGGGGUGCAUCAUCGACCGAUCCUGAAGUUUACGGAUGGAUUUGAGUAAGAGCAUAACUGUUCGGACCCGAAAGAUGGUGAACUAUGCGUGGAUAGGGUGAAGCCAGAGGAAACUCUGGUGGAGGCUCGCAGCGGUUCUGACGUGCAAAUCGAUCGUCAAAUCUGCGCAUGGGGGCGAAAGACUAAUCGAACCAU
rnacentral:rRNA from 1 species